GACUCCAUGAAGCUGGAUUCGCUAGUAAUCGCGCAUCAGCCACGGCGCGGUGAAUACGUUCCCGGGCCUUGUACACACCGCCCGUCAAGCCAUGGAAGCCGGGGGUGCCUGAAGUGCGCUGCCGCGAGGAGCGCCCUAGGGUAAAACCGGUGACUGGGGCUAAGUCGUAACAAGGUACC
rnacentral:rRNA from 1 species